CCUACGGGUGGCUGCAGUGAGGAAUAUUGGUCAAUGGUCGCGAGACUGAACCAGCCAAGCCGCGUGAGGGAUGAAGGUACAGAGUAUCGUAAACCUCUUUUGUCAGGGAACAAAGGCCGGGACGUGUCCCCGGAUGAGUGUACCGUAAGAAAAAGCAUCGGCUAACUCCGUGCCAGCAGCCGCGGUAAUACGGAGGAUGCGAGCGUUAUCCGGAUUUAUUGGGUUUAAAGGGUGCGCAGGCGGUCUGUUAAGUUAGCGGUGAAAGCUCGGGGCUCAACCCCGGACCGGCCUUUGAAACUGGCAGUCUCGAGUUGGAGAGAGGUAGGCGGAAUGCGCGGUGUAGCGGUGAAAUGCAUAGAUAUCGCGCAGAACUCCGAUUGCGAAGGCAGCAUGCCGGCUCCACACUGACGCUGAGGCACGAAAGCGUGGGUAUCGAACAGGAUUAGAUACCCGUGUAGUC
rnacentral:rRNA from 1 species